UGUUUUAAUUUUAAACCUAAAAGAAAAAGCUGUUGCCAUAUAAGUCCAAGUCAAUGGAAUGUAUAAAUCUUUAAAAAGGUUUCAUAAAGUAAUAAUGAUUUUAGUAUAUGUACCAAAUGAGAUUAAAGAGCUACAUUUGGUUCUAAUACAGAGUUUCACAUUCAAAAGGACCAUCAGUUUCCUGUUUAAAAUCUACUUAUAUUGAACUGAAUGGAGUUCAAACAUAAUGCCAUUGUAUUUCAGACAUUUAUCUUAAUUUAAAACAGCUGAAAAGCAUUAAUAACAGAGCAAGGACAUGCAGAGGUAUAGGCAUUUCUCCCUCCCUUCUCUUCUUUUCAAAAUAAUGAGCUCAGAUGUAACAUGCCCCCGCUCAUGCUGUUCUGCCAGUCUGCAGAGGACAAGGAGCAGGGUGUCAGCCCCUUGAAACCACAACAGGAACAGUCCUUUGGAAGAAGGGCUGAAGGACAUGAGGGAAACUUCCUUUACCAAGCAUCUCUUUCAAACAGGAUGGGCCAAACCAUGAUUUAUUAGAGCAGUUUUUACCUGGAGCAUCUUCCGGAGGCUUUUGCAGUACAGGCACAGAAAACUGGAACUCAUCAGUCUGAACUUUCCCACCUUGUGGCUUUGAUCCCAGUCUCCUCCUUCCCACUGGAAAUUCUUCCUCUGCCAUGAUUGCCUUUAAGCAUGUACCAUGGCAAAUCAUACCAUUGUGCAUUUUACACGCCCUUCGUUUGAAUUUCACCUUAUCCGUUGUAAUUCCACACAGGAUCGCAAAUUCUGUGCCAGUUGGGCUGUUCAGAAUUGUUCAACAUCUUGGAGCUCUGAAUCAUUGUCAAUAAAAAUCAAAGCUGAUUUCUGUUUUCCUGCUUAGCGUGGUUUCCCAGGAGGAGAUGGUGAGUGAAUAAAAUGAAUGGUAAGAGCAUGAGAGGUCAGUUUUAGCACACCAACUUGAAAAAUGCUAAUGGGGGCUGGGUCAGUCUUGUUUCAGGUGCUGUACAAAAACAGAGAGGAGACAAGUGCUGCCUCUAAAGGUCUGUAACAUAGGUAAGCUUUACAAUAAUUUUCCAGUGAGUUUUCACACUAGAAUAAAUUACCUUGAAACCCCUUCAGAAUGAUAAAGGAAUAAUCCAGUUUGAUGUUCCACUUGCGUGGGAACACCUUUUCCCCAAAGAUGCCUGAUAUCCCACCAAUCAACCUGUCUGUCUAGUGGAAUAAUGUGAGAUUGUAGUUUUUAUUAUCAGGCUCUUCCCAGGGAGCCUGGGCUACUUUGUAGUGCUAUAUUCUUUGCAGUUCUCAGAAUCAUGUGCAUUAAAGGUUGCUUAACAGCUGGUGAGUCACACAGCUUGUUCUUUGAGCUCAAAUGCUCCAUUAGGGCACAUCCACUAGAGGUAUUUUAACCUUUGAAAAAAAUCAAUACAAGUGGCUUAAGCAUUCUAGAUUUUAAGAAAAAAUAAAACAAAAAAAGCAAAACAAACGAACAAAACAGAAGACCCUAAAUAACAACAAACUGCCUGCAUGAUGUUUGAUAAAUUAAUCUCUCUUCCAGUCUUAGGGGUGCAGCAUUUCCUAGAGAGCAGCACAGUUCUUGUCUAAAAAGUCACUGUGCUUGGGCAUCAGACAGAGCUGAGUCUGAAGGGAGUAAAAUGUCUUCUGAGUUAUAAAAAUCUUUAGUUCAUUUUAUGAGCAUUGGUCUGAUGGGGGACAGACAAGGCACUUGGAAGUGUACUCCAUAAUUUCACUGGGGAGUUGGUCUUUUUCUUAAACCAUGAACUGUAUUUACUGCAGAUAAUUGCAAAUAUGGCUUAUGUACAGCAAUCCACAGUGCUUGACUAAGUAGUCAGAAUGAGAGAGGAAUUCUUUGGGUAGUGUGUAUUUCCCUUGUGUUUAAAUGUACCUGAUGUUAAACGAGUUAAACUAGUCCUGCUUUCGCCAAACUUCUUAAGGAAACGAAGUACACGUUUCCACUUUCCUGGUCAGUGCUGGGGCUUCUCCUUUGUGAUAUAACUUGGAGGAGAAACAUUGAUUUGAAUCAAAUUUGACUGUGAGAUGAAGGGCUGAAGGAUAUUACAGUCCUCCAGAUUUCGUAAGGAGGAACAGUCCCGCAGAGGGAAAACAAAUCAGUGCUUCCUUUAGGGAACAUGCUGCAGAGUUUGCUCAGUUGAUUAUUAGACACUUGAGGAUCGGACCCUCUGCCAUGCACACACAUGGCACAACUGGACAAAAACCAGAUUUCUGAAGCGGUGCCUGUGGAAUGAAUCCUUAACCUACAAGGACAGUGGUUUGAUUUUUCUCUUACGGUCUAACCUCAGUGAUCUUUUUUCUCAUUAUGUCCCCUUGGGAUAAAUAACCUGGCUGUAAAAUCACCAGCCCACUCUCAGAACUCCCAGUUCGCCUCUGCUUUGGGCUCUUUGGCAUGGAUUUGAUGCUCAGUAAAGGCGGAGAAGUCUCCCCACACAUCUCACUCGAAGCCCGGCCGGAAUGUGGCCGCAGCUGUCCCCGCUGUGGGACGCGCUGGUGCCAGGGCCAGCUCUGGGUCUGUCCCCGGGGCCCGGCACAGUCCAGCGGGGGAACCACGCCGAGCCGGCUUUGGGAUCCAGCCUCUGGGUGAUUUCAGCUCUUCUAGACUGAGGUGCAAAAGCUCCGUGGAGUGUCCUCCAUGCGUGGGAAGGAUGGUAGGAAAAGGGGCAAAGGACAAAUCAACUGGUUAUCCUGUUUCCACAAGUGAUUUCUAACACAGCAGUACUUUGCAGUGGAUUGAAAACCAGAAGAAGAAAAUGGAGGAUCCAUUUCUCAUGUUAUUUUUCAGAUAAUCUCCUCUAAUAUCUCUGGGAAUGGUGCCACAUAUCACAAAUAUCAGCAUCUGAACCAAAUCUGAUAUCGUUGCUCACACUAAAUAGCUCUCAGUUCUGGAGCAGACCUGCAACAACGCUUGAAAGGUGUUAGCCACAAAAAUGCUACCUCCCAAAAUAGUUCUUCAGGCAGUGAUAUUCGAGAGCCAGAAACCAAUGAGAUGAAUAGUAGUGCAGGUGAUAAUGACUGUUACCAGACACAUGAGAAUUUGACCCUGAAAGGCUCCUUUUUGAGCACACUGUAUGGGUGGUUAACAGAGGUUAAGUGAAUAUUAUUUCAGAGAGGUGCAUUUUGUACAAAAGGUGAUUAUCGUCUCUUGGACUGGCUGCAACAGAAAAGCCCAUGGGCACAGCUGUAGGCUCACAAGCCCUUCUUCAGGACUGAUGCUUGAGCCCCAAGAAGAAUCAAUUUAUAAAGUAUAGUACUUUCAUUUCAGUGGCAAAAUACCCAAACUGUCCUCAGCAGUGUUGAUGUGCCUGGCCUCAGAGCAUGAUGGUUCCCUGUGCCACCCAGGCUCAAUCAAAAUCUAUCCUGGAAGAACAACCGGCAUAUGGAAAGGGGAGGAAAGAUACAGACACAUCAAACACUGGAACAAAGAGACACUGGCCCUGCCAAUUUUGGAAAAAAUAAAAGGAUAGAGCUGUCAGUGUCCUGGGUUGCUAAUGAGUUGUGAUGGAUUGAGAAACCUUCAUUAAUUUUCUGUGGAGGUGAAUAGCAGAGACCAGCUCCUGAUGUGUUAUUUCAGCGUAACCAAGGGGUGGGCCUGUGCCUCAGACACAUAUUCAUGAGCUUUAUUAGAGAUAUUUUGGUGAGUUCACUGCAGCUGUAAAACCUCCUCAAGAAGCUGGCUUAAAACUUGCCUUUAGUGAAGCUGCUGCCAUCAGGCUCAGAGCUGGCUGGAACUGGCUGUGAUAACAUCGGGUGUGCAGUUGUUGCACCUUGCUAAGCUGUUACCAGCUGUGCAUGAAUCCACACACCAUGACUAAGGCAGGUAUUUUUCCUGUUGUCACCAGAGCUGUGAGAGCUGAGUUGAAGGAAAGAGGUGUUGGUUGGUCACAUUGUGUUUUGGCUUCUCUAGCCAGCAGACAGUCAAAUAGCUUCUUAUAAGGUAGAGUCUGCUCUUACAGCCUCAAUUACCUAGAUAAAAACAACUUGCAAGCUCGCAGGCAACUUUAGCCUGGUGGUACUGAAUAAAAAAGCUAUUUAUGCUGUU